UGGGGAAUAUUGCACAAUGGGCGCAAGCCUGAUGCAGCCAUGCCGCGUGUGUGAAGAAGGCCUUCGGGUUGUAAAGCACUUUCAGCGAGGAGGAAGGUGGUGAGCUUAAUACGCUCAUCAAUUGACGUUACUCGCAGAAGAAGCACCGGCUAACUCCGUGCCAGCAGCCGCGGUAAUACGGAGGGUGCAAGCGUUAAUCGGAAUUACUGGGCGUAAAGCGCACGCAGGCGGUUUGUUAAGUCAGAUGUGAAAUCCCCGGGCUCAACCUGGGAACUGCAUUUGAAACUGGCAAGCUAGAGUCUCGUAGAGGGGGUAGAAUUCCAGGUGUAGCGGUGAAAUGCGUAGAGAUCUGGAGGAAUACCGGUGGCGAAGGCGGCCCCCUGGACGAAGACUGACGCUCAGGUGCGAAAGCGUGGGGCAGCAAACAGGAUUAGAUACCCUGGUAGUCCACGCUGUAAACGAUGUCGAUUUUGGAGGUUGUGCCCUUGAGGCGUGGCUUCCGGAGCUAACGCGUUAAAUCGACCGCCUGGGGAGUACGGCCGCAAGGUUAAAACUUAAAGGAAUUGAC
rnacentral:rRNA from 1 species